rnacentral:tRNA from 1 species
GCGGAUGUAGUUCAGUGGCAGAACACCAGCUUCCCAAGCUGGAUAUGAGGGUUCGAUUCCCUUCAUCCGCUCCA